GAUGAACGCUGGCGGCGUGCCUAAUACAUGCAAGUCGAGCGAACAGACGAGGAGCUUGCUCCUCUGACGUUAGCGGCGGACGGGUGAGUCACACGUGGAUAACCUACCUAUCAGACUGGGAUAACUUCGGGAGACCGGAGCUAAUACCGGAUAAUAUAUUGAACCGCAUGGUUCACUAGUUAAAGUCGGUUUUUCUGUCACUUAUAGACGGAUCCGCGCCGCAUUCGCUAGUUGGUAAGGUAACGGCUUACCAACGCAGCGAUGCGUAGCCGACCUGAGAGGGUGAUCGGCUACACGGGAACUGAGACAGGGCCCAGACUCCUACGGGGGGCAGCAGUAGGGAAUCUUACGCAAGGGGCGAGAGCCUGACGGAGCAAAGCGGCGGGAGGGAUGAAGGUCUUCGGCUCGUAAAACGCUGUUAUUAGGGAAGAACAAAUGUGUAAGUAACUAUGCACGUCUUGACGGUACCUAAUGAGAAAGCCACGGCUAACUACGUG
rnacentral:rRNA from 1 species